GUUCCUGUAGUGUAGUGGAUAUCAUGUUUGCUUUACACACCAAAGGUCUCUGGUUCAAAACCAGACAGGAAUG
rfam:Poecilia formosa, whole genome shotgun sequence.